GACGAACGCUGGCGGCGUGCUUAACACAUGCAAGUCGAACGGAAAGGCCCUGCUUUUGUGGGGUGCUCGAGUGGCGAACGGGUGAGUAACACGUGAGUAACCUGCCCUUGACUUUGGGAUAGCUUCAGGAAACUGGGGCUAAUACCGGAUAGGAGCUCCUGCUGCAUGGUGGGGGUUGGAAAGUUUCGGCGGUUGGGGAUGGACUCGCGGCUUAUCAGCUGGUUGGUGGGGUAGUGGCUUACCAAGGCUUUGACGGGUAGCCGGCCUGAGAGGGUGACCGGCCACAUUGGGACUGAGAUACGGCCCAGACUCCUACGGGAGGCAGCAGUGGGGAAUAUUGCACAAUGGGCGGAAGCCUGAUGCAGCAACGCCGCGUGCGGGAUGACGGCCUUCGGGUUGUAAACCGCUUUCGCCUGUGACGAAGCGUGAGUGACGGUAAUGGGUAAAGAAGCACCGGCUAACUACGUG
rnacentral:rRNA from 1 species